GAAGACACUUAAUUUCAAUUUGAAUGCAAAGAGUCUUAUUUAAAAUAAAAUAAAAAUCUGCAACGAUACCUUUGGAGUUUCGUUUUACUAAAACAAAGUUUAGUGGAGUUUAAUUAAAGUUAAAGCUAUCGGAGAACAAAUUUGAUCUCCAUUGGUCUCGAAUCGAUGAAUUUGACACUUCCCAAGAGUCUUGUUUGACUCAUUGAGUCAAUCGCAAUUAAUUGCUUCAAUUUUAAAUUUUCCUUUUGUCAAAUUUGGAUGAACGUAUGAAAAGAUUUAAGAGCUUAUGAAUUUUGGAACCAAACAAUUUACACCUUUGGAUCUUGCAGGAUUUUAUUUUGCCUCCUUGGCUGCCCCGCCAUGUGUUUAUUAAAUGUCGUCCUUAUCAAAUACAAAUUGGUUCAUUUAGUCCACAUCGUACCCAUCGAAAUCUGAACGUCUUGGUGGUGUUGGAGCAUUCGCAUCGAUCGUGCACUCCCCGGCAAUUUUGAGGAGGUCAGCUCGUCAAUCACCUGGAAUGACCAUGGCCAUGGGCAUGGGUUAGGGUUUUGGAGGCGUGUGAGCAAAGAGCAGUGACAACGAGGGGAAAAUCAAGGAUUUGGAGCAAAGGAAGAAACGUGUGAAAAGGUCAAGGAACGAUGGGGAAGAAGUUGUCGUGGGGGUUUAAACGAAGUUUACGUAGAAGAGAAACUAAAUAAAAGGAAAGAUAAAAUUCUAAACCUGGCCAUGUUGAAUACUCUCGUCUCUUCAUCCAAGAAAAGAGAGACCCAUCAUAUGCUUUCUUCUCCCGAAAAGGAGUAAGAUCAGAUGUGAAAUGCUAAAAUCAAGGUGGACGAAUGUGAGUCUUAAGCGCGAAGCGAAAAAGGAUAAAAAGCAAAGCAAUAAUUUGUAUUCCAUCCCACUUUUCCUUUGAAGUUUGAAGUGUAGCUAGUUUCUUUUGCAAGAAAGACCACGAAGUGAAUUAUCUCACUUAUUCACUUCUCAGACCCUAAAAGUUGCUAAGUUCAGUUUUCUUUCAAAAGCUUAAACUUUGACUCUAGAAUUGCAAAGUUGAGAUUUUUAAGUUCGUCACUGUCUGAGCAAGACGCCAAUUCAUCUCAUAACAUACUUUGAUGGGACAUAUUUUUGGUUACCAUAUAAGUUUGGGAUUUUGAUGAUAAACGUACACUUUGGAUAAUUGGUAAUAUGGUAAAUAUAAAGGUCAUGAUUUUUUAUGGAAUCGCACACUCAAUGUUGUCGAAUUUGCUGCCCACCCAUUGCCAUCACUAGCCCUCAACUUCAUGCAUCGAAUAGCUUAUAUACUACUUUUAGCCCAUGGUAAACAUUUUUAUGGAUCGAAUAGCUUUACGUGAUUCAAACAUUGGAAAUUACAGAAACCAAUUUCCCAAAUAUGAUUUUUUUUUAAUCAAACUUUAGAAGGAAGAUCAUGAGGGGCAAUUCCAUUUUUUUUUUUCAUUUUUUGAGAAAAGUACUACCCUCCGGAACAAAAUUGUAUGAGUGUCUACACGACAACGUUGUUGAUGAAUCCAAACCAAAAAAAGAAGACAUUGAUAAAUGUCAGAUUUGUUUGCCAACAAACCAUAUAAUUGAUGCCAAUAAAGAGAUCCAAAGUGAACAAUCAUAUCCCUUCAUAUAAUUGAUGCCAAACUCAUUGAUUUUCCAAGACUUGGACAUAGUAUUGAUGAAAAGAAUCUUUAAUACCGCCGCCCUAAAAAUAGAAGCACUCCCAACAAGUAAACCGAGUGAUUGAAUCCCAUUAUCUGACGAAAUCAACUCAAUGAUGUAAGUUUAACAAUUACUCUCAUGAUGCAGAAAAGGAAUCGGAUCUAGUCGUGCAAAGAGGUAGCAGCACGACCACAACAUCAGUAAUAAUUAGGGUACUGAUACAUCAAUGAGGUCUACCCUUACCGGGUCUUUACUAAACUUUUUUUUUCCUUUUUACAGAUAAAGUAUGAAUUAGAUAGUAAAUCUCUCAAUAAUAAAUAGAUAAUAGGAAAUACGAUUCUCCAAUUUCUUUUUGAAUUCACAUAUGGCAUUUUUGUGUUAUUUUUUUUCAGUUACUAAUUCAAUUCUACUACCUUUUUAUAUUAUCGCAGAAGUUUUAUCACAUAAUUUGUUUUACCGUUGUAUCAUUUACAUGAAGAUUCAAAAUACGAUCUAACUAAAUGGAAUAAAUCAAAUCUCACUAAAUCCAAAUGUUAAACAGAAAAUGGAAUAGCCAGAUUAGAAUCUGACUUGACAUUCUAGAAAAACAGGAAUUCUUUCUAAUUAUUUUUUAACUACUAACUAAAACGUGUAAUGUAUUUCUAGCUGAUAUCUCCUUCUGUUUUCCUUUCUUGCCGACUAGCUCUAUACGUAAGGACCGGGUCGUGAUGGUCUGAAUGCUUCGCCGGGGAGUCUCGACUAAAAGCAGCCUCCCUUCGGCCGGGAUUCUCUUGCUUUUUAACCUUUUGCUUUUCACGCUAAAUCUUUGCUGAAGAUAUGGUCAUUCAUCAUGAGGGUGUGCUGCAAUUUCUCCGCUGCCGUGUCCUUCUUGACCACGUUCUUCUCCUCAUCAGAGCAAUCCACCGAAGCCCACCGAGAAUUCCACUUGCGCUAUUCUUUUAUUUUUUGUCUUUUUUUAAACUUUAUCUGCUUUCGGUUACUCAUGGCCCGGCCAUGUCCCCUCGUCCUUAUCUUGGUGUUCAGUUAGUCAACACGUUUCCACCGUAUCGUGUCCCACCAGAUUUUGCUCUCCAUUUUUGCAGAAUUUCAGCUCUCCCUUCCUGUUCCUUCGUGUGUUUUCACACUGCUAUUUCCCUUCCUUCGCACUCGCAUGAAUGCCGUAUCGAAAGUGGCCUCAAGUCAACCAUUUCGGUUCACAAAAAUUCGCAAUUUUAUUGGAAAGGGUCUGUAAUUUUAAAUGCGAAAGAAUGCAAUAGAGAUCAAGAAUGCAUGAUUACAAAUGUUUUUUUUUUAGUAAGGGGUCAAAUUAUCAAUGAUUUUUUUUUUUUUUGGUAACCAAGGAUCCGCCGGGCCUGCCAAGCAGCCCAUGGCCUGUAGAGUGCGUGAUGCACCUAGGACCAAGUGUCAAUACUUCAUGGACUGGCUUAGUAAUCCACUCUUGAGACCCCCACUUAAGUCAUGUUAGCAACGGGAGGGCUCGAAUUCUCGACCUCGGCAAUGGAUGAGAGAAUGCACAUCAACUGAGCUAUCCAUGUGUGGGUAAUUAUCAAUGAAUUUGAUUGCUGAAUUUCAUGAGAAUGCAGAUAGGACCUUUAGGCGAAAAUCUGUGUCAACAAUAAUUUUCCUCAAGUUAAUUAAUGGAGACCGAAACAUCACUGGAUUAGAAGGGCAAAGUCAAAGUCUACAAAGACUUGGACUACCAACCGUCCAUGGUGACCCAACUUUGCUCUGAGAAGGAUUCACAUCCAUGAAUGAGCCAAGUCUCUGAAGACUUGGACGACCAAAGGCACACGCUAAGGCAUUGGCGGGUCUUCUUUUCCACAUUAGGAAUUUUUUUUUUUUGACAAAUUCCACAUUAGGAUUAACCCAUCUUCUUUUUCUUUGCUUUUAUUGCUUUAUUUCUUUUCAUUAUCACUCUGCUUUUUUGACGAGAUUUUCCUUGGAUUCUCGCCGUGAAUGAUGGUUGUGGUACCGGUGGGUCAAUUACCUUGAUAGUUGAUUGAUAGGCGGCCACCAUUUGAUCAAUAAUUCUUUUUCUUUUCUUUUUUUCGCACAACAGCACUACUCUUUGAGGAUACAUAUGAGUUGGGGCUUCUAUAAGAGGGCAAGAGCCUCAACCCUGAACGCAGAAGGCGCCGCUUACUGCUCGCACCACUCCGUCCACCAACCUCCCGGCGGAAUCACGACGGACGCAAGUGAUCGAGCCUCCAGUAGGUCCAGGUUCGUAGGCACCGUCUAUGUUUAUCUUUAGUGUUCCAGCCUACGGUGGGUUCCAAAAUCGUGACGAUCCGUCGCUGGUCUUACUAGAUUCGCUCGAUUUUGGGUUCCAUCUGUUGAAACUCUUCAACUAAAGCAAACUCCACAAGGUUGCUUGGUUUUGGUUUUCUAUUCUUGAAGAUGGCCUGGUUUCUUGACUUCCAAAUAUUCCACAGUACUUUAGUAAUCGUCUGAUUCGAGACUUGGCUUCUUGCAUCCUGAUCUUGAGCUCUCUAGCUCUCAUCUCUGCUAUUCUUCCAUUCACCAGUGUAAAAUAUUCGUAAAUUACCAAGAUUAUCUAAAUUUUACCGACAUUCCAAUGAAGUAGUAAAUUAACUCACUUGAAAAUUUUCAUCAUUGUUGUAAGUAAAGUACCGACAUCUUUAGAAAUUUACCAACAUGCCAAUAAAGUAGUAAAUUACUGACUCCUACAAAAUUUUACGAGUGUGGUAAGUAUAUUACCGACACAGUCUAAGAAUUUACAAACACUACAUGGAAGUAUUAAAUUACCCACUCUCAAAUUUUACCAGUGUUAAUAAAUUACUAGCAAUAUCAAGAAUUCACUGACAUAAGAGUCAAGUGGUUAACUACCAACUCUUAUUACCAAAAUCAUAAAUAAAUUACUGGCACAUACAAGAAUUUAACAACAUUUUAAUGAAUUAAUAUAUUACCAACUCCUCUGAAAUUUACUUACCAGCACUAUAAAAAAAAUAUACCAAUAUAUUAAUGAAGGAGUUAACCCACUCCAAAGAAAUUUUAUCCAUGUGGUCAGUAGAUUGCCAACUCUUAUCAUCCAUUGAUUCUACACUUUAUCUUAAGAUGAAAUUGAAAGCAACAGGAUCCUUGAAUCACUUGAGGUGAUCAAAUCAUAAAGGUGGAGUCAUGGAGGCUAGAUUUAAACUACUUAAACUCAUACCCUUGUUCAAAUCCGAUUCAAACGUCGAGCUAUACUUGAAGUAGUGGCUACAAUAUUGGCUUAAUUUUUAUUUUAACACAUCAAAUGAAUAGCAGUGUAUCGGUAUUUUACCUUCAACUCGGAAUUCCUAUAGACUAACGGUCUCACCAUGUCCUUGGCAGAAAAAAUUUUGACACUCUUAGUAUAUUGGAAAGUGGAGGGGCACAUCUCUAGAACCAAUACAAAACAAAACUAACUUUCGAGCUUAGAUAUGGGUGGACUCUUUUCCUUUUGUUCUUUCUCAUAAUCGUAGUCUAUGAAGUUGGAGCCCAAUGCUAAUACAAGAAUCAUUCAAUGUGGAUAUCUUUAUUUUUUAGAUUCCUGACAAUGUGGCAUGUGCCUAUCCUAAUUUUAUAGAGUAAUUAUAGGGGAAGCUAAUACUCUAUGUCCAUUCUUCCCUAAAUAGAGCAAACUCUCAACCACCAUAAUUAGAUUAUUAAACAAACAAAUUAUAUCGGAAGUAUCAAUGAAGUUGCUGUUGAACCUUAUAUAAUGCAUUGGAUGUUGAAUAACAGAGAACCAUAUUAUUAUUUGGUUGUACAUUAUAUAAGUUCCAAACCUUAUAUUUUGUUAACUUUGUCAAUUGGUUGUACAUUAUAUAAGUUCCAAACCUUAUAUUUUGUUAACUUUGUCAAUGUCCGAUCAUGUUGCAAUAUCAUUUCGAAAUAGUACCACUAUGUCGUCUCGUGUGGCAUAUUUAGUCAUCUCGGAGCUUCUAAUUGGUGUCUCACAGUCAAGUAUAUUAACAAGUACAACGCUCCAUCAAUACAAAUAAUUAUCAAUAUCACUAGUAAACAAAUGCACACAAUCAUCCGGCACACAUAUAGUAGCAUAAAAUAUGUUUGUAUGUUACUCACAAAUAGAUGCAGAAACGAUGUUAAUAAUCUACUAAAAAUUUAGGGAAAUGAUUUUUUUUUUUUGAGGAAGUUACAAAUAUUAACUGGUGUCACUAGUAAAACAUAUGUAAGGAACUCGUAAUCAACUAGAGGAAAAACACAAAAAUGACUAUUCUUAAUAUUUCAAGCAAGUAAAUCAAUUGUUUCGUUUGCAUGUUACUAACAAUAAAAUUGCAACUCAUAAAAUUGAAACAAGGUUAAUAAUAUAGUAAGGAUUUAUACUUGUAAAAUAGUUAUUUUUUUGUAAUUUACUACCGUCCACCAAGACUACUAACAAAGUAUGCAAGCAACUCAUAGUUUACUACCAAAAAUCCUCGCCCACUUAUAAAAGCAAACAAUUGCUCGUAAGGUACAGGAGUAUUUUCCAUAUGGUAAAUCGAUUAUUCCGUUUACGUAGUAUUUACAGAUGAACACUGCUACUCAUAAAUUCGAAACAGUGUUAACACUAUAGUUGGAUUUAGAGGGGUAAAAUACUAUUUUGUUUGUAAGUUGGAACAUCAAUCGGGACUAUUAAUAAAAUAUAUAAGCAUUUAUAAUCAACGAGUGAAAAUUGCUAACCCAUUUGCAAAAUCUAAAAGAAAAAAAAUGGUAAUCUACUAUUUGGUUUGAGGAUGAAAAAACUUCUUCUUCUUUUUUAAUAACUUUCUAACAAUAGAUCAGACUCACAAGUUAUCAGUUAAUUUUUACUUACAAGUGGUACUUCAAGUUUAUAAUUUGUUCUUUAAAUCUAGCAUGCAUGAAUCAAAACUUCAUUUUUGGUUUACGGAAUUUUAGAACGUGUAAGAUUUCAACUACAACUAUCUCAUCUCAUGAAUAGCUUUGGUUAAUUUUUUGAUCCAUUUUAGAGAGAGCAGCGGUCAUAUUUGCCAAAGUGACAUUAAGAAGAAACAAUUGAUGUUGUAGAAAUUUGAGCAGUGUGGAACUCUUCUUUUUAAAAAGAAUGCUCCGCGUUGUGUUAUGUCAAAUGAGGACAUGUUAAUGUUCUCCCUUUGAGAUUUAAAACUCAUGGGGAAUAAUUAUGUUCUCAAGAUUUGAGAAGAGUGAACCGUUUUUUUCUUUAAAAAAAAAAAAUGAAAACUCAGCACUCUUCUAUGUUAAUGUUCUCCUUAGGAGAUUAAAUUCCCUUAAGAUGUUAAAACUCCCCUUGAGAUUUAAUACUCCUAUGUUCACGUGCAUUGUCGACUUAGGCAAGCUGGAGUGAUGUUGCAAUAGCUAAUCCAGGCUACUAAGUUUAGUGACCUACAUAGAUUUCCAUUUGUGAGUCGGGCUUCUAUACAUUUUCCAUCUCUAGCUCCCACUACUUUUGCUGAUAUAAUGUUUGGUAUUUCUUGAAGAUCAAAUUGAGUGAAAUCAAUGGAGGGGAGUGUAGAAACACAACAUACCUGGCAAAAUGAUGGAAUAGCAGGGAGCGCUUCUUUUACUCACACUACAACAGAAGGCCAGGGAAUGGUCAAUUCAUCAAGACACGAAUACGAAGUAUUCUUGAGUUUUAGAGGAAAAGAUACUCGAAUAAGUUUUACCAGCUUCCUUCAUACUAGUAUGAUGAAUGCAGGAAUCCGCGUCUAUAAGGAUGAUAGAGAAGUCCCCAAGGGGAAAAAAUUUGGCCCGGAACUUCUCCAAGCAAUUAAUCAAUCGAAGAUCUCAAUACCUAUAUUUUCAAAAGGUUAUGCCUUUAGCGUAUGGUGUCUCAAUGAGCUAGUCCAGAUGGUCGAGUGCCAAAAAACUAGGGGACAAAUGAUUAUGCCAAUUUUUUAUGAUGUGGCACCUUCAGAGGUUCGACACCAAACCGGGGGUUAUGGAAAGGCCUUUCUUUCACAUGAACAGAAAAAACGAUAUGAUGAAGAGACUAUGCGUCAGUGGAAGGCUGCUCUCAGUGCAGUUGGGGCAAUACAUGGGUGGGACUUGCACAACAUGCCCAACAGGUGACUACCUCUAUCAUUCCAUUUGAUGUGCCUAGUACCAUUAAAACUUUUAAUGUGGUUCAAAAUUGGUUUCUUUUCUAGAUUUGUGUGAUCCUCGUUGAAAUUUAAUUUUAUGCUAUUGAAAUUAUACUACAAAAAUCACAUAAAAUAAUGGUACAAUCCCAAUUUUUUCCCUUUUCAUUCCAAACAAUUUUUUUUUUUCAAUUUAGGUCAUUCAUUAAUCAUAUGUGCCAAUGCUAAUUCAUCUACAAUGGAGUAAAUCCUUACAAAAUGCAUUUCGAAUAGGUCUCUAGUUUUUACUUUGUUCUUGUCAGAAUAUAGUUUGGUUCAACACAAUUUUCUAACUCAUUGCCAUUUGACCUCCAACAAACACUAGGGAAGAAGGUGAGAUCACAAAUACAGUAACCCAAAAGGUUUUCAAUGAGUUGAAGAAGGCUUAUCUGGUGGUAUCAGAUUACUUGGUCAAUGUCGACAACCAUGUGGGUGCAAUCAUGGAAAUGAUAGGUGCUCAAACAAGUGAAACACGCAUCAUAGGAAUCUAUGGGAUGGGUGGUAUUGGAAAGACGACUAUUGCCAAAAUCAUCUACAAUCAACUUUCACAUGGAUUUGAGAAUUGUUGCUUUCUUCCCGAUAUCCAAGAAAUGUCAAAAGGUAACCGCAUUCCAUCCUUGCAGAAUCAGCUCAUCAACGACAUCCUAAAAAAAAAAUGGACAGACAUAAAAAACAUUGACGAUGGGAUUCAGGCAAUUAAAAAUAGGUUGUCUAAUAAGAGAGUUCUCCUUCUUCUUGAUGAUGUGGAAAAAGUUGAUCAUAUGCGUGCACUUGUAGGUAAGGGGAGUAAACUCAUAAUUACUACGAGAAACCAAGAUGUUCUCAUUGUUCCUGAAGACUCCACUUAUGAGGUUAAUGGUAUGGAUGAUUAUCAAUCUCUUCAACUUUUUAGCAAACAGGCCUUCAGAAGAGAUUCUCCUAUAGACGAAUAUAUCGACCUAUCCAAGAGGGCAGUACACAUUGCUGGAGGUCUUCCAUUAGCCCUUGAGGUCAUAGGUUCACUUUUAUCCGGCAAAAAUAAGGAAUGUGGGAUGCCACAUUGAAGAAGCUAGAAAGUGUUCCUCAUGAUAAAGUUCAGAGUAAGCUGAAAAUAAGUUAUGAUGCAUUAAAUAAUCGGCAGCGGCAUAUAUUCCUUGAUAUUGCUUGUCUAUUCAUUGGAUGUCUCAAAGACAUUGUGUUUUAUUUCUGGGAUGCAUCUAAACUUUUUCCGGAAGUAGACGUUGAAGUUUUGCAGAACAUGUCUUUAAUAAAGAUUGGAGAAGAUAAUAUAUUGUGGAUGCAUGAUCAACUCAGAGACCUUGGAAGAGAAAUAGUUCGUGAAGAAAGUGAGAUGAAUAUAGAGGAGCAACGUUGCGUGUGGAAUCCGGAGGAUGGAUUAAAUCUGCUAAGGAUACAUGAGGUAAAAUGCUUUGUGCAAUAGAUCUCCAAAUUAUUUAUAGACAUUUUCUUUUCCAAAAAAAGUAGUUACUUUUUGUGUUCUGUAGCACCAUCGCGACCUACUCAACCGAUAGUUUUGGUCUUUUAAGAUUUUAAAGGAAUGAUAAUAGUCAACUCCAACCCUUAAAAUAGUGAACUUGAAGAAAUGUGUUUCCUUUCAACUUUUUUGUUUAAAAUUUUUUCCUUUGGGCAGGAAAAGAAAAAAGUUGAAGCUCUUCGUCUCAAGUUUGAUGAUCAGCACCGUUUUACCUAUGACGACUUUAAGAGCCUGCCAUAUCUAACGUUCCUUGAAGUAGACGACUUGAAGGAAAAUUUUCGUGGAGAAAAGAUGCUUCGUUGGCUCAAAUGGCCAUCAUAUGCUCUUCCAACUAAUAUUUUCCAGAGGAAUUCAAAUCUCCUUCCACGAUUACGAUGGCUUUCUUGGCAUAAUAUUAGCCCAACAUUUAAGAUUGCAAAUUUCUCCGUAGAGAAUUUGAUUAUCCUUGAUCUAUCUCAGAGUGAAAUCACUCGUGAUUGGAAGGGGUGGAGCCACAUGAAGGUAUGUUAUAUGCUAGAGAACAUUUAUUCUUCCGUUUUAUUAGAUUCAAAAGUGAACUUUGCAUGAUUUUUCUUUCACAGGUGAUUAAGAAUUUGAAAGUUCUAAAUCUGGCCAAUUGUCGAUGCUUGAAGAGAACCCCUAACUUCUCAACUCAUUCAAAUUUAGAACGUUUGAUCCUAUCAAAGUGUUACUCAUUAAUCGAAAUUGAUAGAUCGAUUUGUCAGUUGAAACGCUUGGUUUUCUUAGAUGUAAGCGGUUGUUGGGGUCUUCAGAGGCUGCCAAAUGAGCUGGGGGAUCUUGCAAGCCUCAAAUACCUAUCUCUAAGUGGUUGCAGGGGAUUGAAGAGGCUUCCAAAUGAGCUGGGAGAUCUUGCAAGCCUCAAAUACCUAUCUCUAAGUUGUUGCAGGGGAUUGAAGAGGCUUCUGGAGACAAUCAGGAAUUUGGAAUCGCUGAUUGAGUUGAACAUGAGUGGCCUGACAAUCAAAGAACUACCCGAUUCCAUCAAAAAGUUGAAGAAUUUGAAAAUAGUGAAUAUGAAAAAUGUUUACAUAAGCAAAAUACAUGAUACCUUUUGGACAAUAGAGAAGCUUGAAAUAAUAGAACUCAGCUACAUUAAUUAUGAUGACAAGCACGUGGCAAUUGGUGAUUGCAUAUAUGAGAAUAAAUCCUUGAGGAUCUUGAGAUUGUCAAUGGCGGAGAGAAUACACGCCCCACCAAGGCUCCCUGAAAGUCUUUUGGAAUUAGAACUGAAGUGGUUGAGGGAGGGCCCAUUUCCGGAUCUCUCAAAUCUCGCUAACUUAAAGGUAUUGGAUCUGACCUUUGGCCCACCUAAUUCUGAUGGGAAAUAUUAUGGGCUUCUGGAAGAACCGAUACCACCGUGGAUUGGGAACUUAACCAAAUUGGAAUCUCUGAAAAUCUGCUUUCCCUGGAUGUUCGCCUCAUCGAGAAACCUCAGCCUCCCUCCUCAUCCGCGUCGCCUCCCGAGGCUUCCCUCAAAUUUAUCCUCCUUAACUUUCGAUGGUUGCCUGUCACUUUGCUCGAUGGAUCUAUCGAAUUUGAGGAAACUAUCGUCUCUCGACAUUUCGAGGUCUGCAGUUGCAGAGAUUGAAGGCCUUGGUUGUUUGGAGAACCUACGAGAUUUCAGCCUUUGGUCCGUCGUACAGCUGGUGAUGCUACCUGAUCUAAGCAAGUUAAACAAGCUAAGGCUUAUUGCAGUACAGGCGUGCGAUAAUCUGGUUGAGAUUCAAGGCGAAGUACCGCGGUUUUUGGAUCAUCUUAAAAUUGAUUACUGCCGUUCGUUACGGGAGUUCCCCGAUCUGUUCAGCUUAAUGGGUAAGAAAGAUGUUUGUAUGCAUAUUCUCGAUCAGGUGUUUUAUUAUACAGAUGGACAUCGAUUGCUGGUUUGUGGCUUUAAACAGAUGCAGAUCCCUGAUCUAAGCAAUUGUAACGGACUAACAAUUCUUACAGUAGAAUCUUGUCAUAAUCUGGUUGAGAUUCAAGGCGAACUACCCCAAUCUUUGGAAGAAUUGUACAUUAAAUCUUGUGAAUCUUUACAGAAGUUACCUGAUCUGUCAAGCUUGACGGGACUGAGAAAGGUUACAAUAAGACGUUGUGGGAAAUUAGCGGUGGAGGAAAUUUCUCGGCUUUGCUCGGAGAAGUCAAUCGAAUUUGUGGGAGAAGACGAUGAAGAAGACGAAUCUGUGGAAGAAGACGAUGAAGAAGACGAAUCUGAUGAAGAAGACGAUGAAGAAGAUGAAUGAGUGCACGUUGCACUUGGAAGCUUUUUGAUGCGCGACCGCAAAUUGUUCCCUUGUGUUCAAACCUUAAACAAAUUGAGGUAAGUACCAAUGUUUUCCUGUUUUUGGCAAUCAAAUUCUUUCACAUAUAUGAACAGAGAAGUUUUGCAUGCACUUUUUAACGACCUUUUAGCGGAUUCUUGUCUGAAAAUCUGAUGAAGGUAUUUAAAUUAUGAUGCCUCCGAACAGCCAGAGGGCUCUUAAUUAUGUACAAGUUUUUGUGUUCUUUUCCUAGUUUGGUUUGGCUUUUUUAGCUACAUUUUCUUAGGAUGGUUUCUCCUAGAGGUAUGCAUGUCGAUUGCAUCAUUUUUAUUUGAUACGUAACAAAUUAUUAGAGAUCGUUGUUGAUUUGCUGCUUCACACAUAUUUUGAAAUUGAUAACCUCACUUCACAUGGGAGAUAAAUUCACUAUGCUGUAAACAAAUAGAUGGAAUGUGUGUUGGAAGGUUAUACAACUAUGGUUCUCAUCCUGGGACUUUACAGCACAAUCAACUCAUUGUUGCGACUUUGAAGUAGACAGAUACUCUGUAUUGCCAUGCUUAAGUUCAGUUUAUUUUCAGGAAAUGUGUGCUUCUUAGUGGGAUUUGCAAAUGUUAUGGAGAAGUCAUAAAUGAGGGAGCCACUGCAAUUCUGAGACUACCAGUGUGGCAGCACUGGCUAAAGCAAUAGCACCAGAAUAUUUUAUCUCAGCAAUGAUGCCUUCGAUCAUAGCAAUCUUUGACGGGCACACUGACAAAAAUCAUUCUGUGCAGCAAACGUCGCCUAUAGGCGUAACUGAGAGAAUACAGCAUUCGCUGUACCAGUAGAGAAGGAGCGCCCUUUUGCUGAGACUUGAGAAUUGCACUCACUUACAAAAGAUUGGUAAGAAAAAGAGAGCACCUUCCCUUGGGGCUGCCUUCAGUUAAAAAUUGUUCCCCGGAAUAAAAACAUUUUUUUUUUAUUUCUGUCCCUGGAAUAAUUUUUGAAUAGAAACGUUACCAAACGCGCCAUAAAACUCCUACGAUCAUCAUUGAGACUAGGGCAAAGAAUCUGUACAUGAAUAAAGCAUGAGAGCAUUGAAUCCCCAAAAGUAUAUUUAUUAAACUCCCAAAUCUAUAUCGAGAGAUUUUUUGAGGAACGGAGAAAGGCCCUCAUCCCAGUUGAUCAUUAAAAUUAAUACCAUAAAGAAAAGGAUAAAUAAAUUCCUUGCCAAGAGGGCAUUUGGGUAUUUUGACAGCACCAAAAAGACAAAACGCAAUUGAUAGGGGAGAAAGGAGAGGAGGAGAGGGAAAAGGACAAGGGGCCAUGAUUAUGGCGGAUGGAACGUAGGCCUAUCAACUAUUGGUGGUUACAUGACUCACAUGGCAAAUGGAACGUAGACCUGUCAACUGUCGGUGGUCACAUGACUCACAUGAGGGGACUAAUGAUAUCGAGUGCAGUGGAGCGGGAGCCAAUUGAUAGGAAGAAGAUGCUAAAUCAAUCCGGGGUCAUGCGUACCAAUGGAUGAGAUGGAACGUAUGGAGAAUUCACAUGAUCCAUCUGUGCAUGAGUCGAGUUCACAUGCCCUGGUGCUCAAGCGGGCAAGACCUGCUCGAAGAAUAGGGAGGAAGUGAAGAGAGGUGUAAUCCAGUCCAUAUGCCGGAUUUGGUAGGGCAACCCCGAAAUCAUGGAUUUUUAGCCCAUGCGUCCCCAUUGAAAUUGCCAUAUUUUCCCAACUUCCUUUGUAUUUUUGAGGUUUGGAGAGCACGAAAAACAGACGGGGCGUUUUCUUCAAAAUAGACUUGAUACUUUUUCCCCGAUUGGGACACACCCCUGUCCUGAAAGCGACACUACAACUAUGUUCAAGCAAAGCCACGAGUGGGUCCCCGUGCCCUGUCAUUCUUGUUAAUUUGUGGGCAAGGGCGGGGGCAUUUAUGGCGACACGGUGCUCUCGGAUGAUUCAAUGGAAGAAGGAAGACGCAUUGGACACCGUGCGGUUCUAUUUCAGGGUGAAAGCAAACUCUACUAAGACAAUAUCAUUAGAAUACGAACUGCCCCCGGCUCUCAGCAUAGUCAACAAAUCCUGUGUACUACUUUUAAUGACCCAUGGAGAUCUCCAUUUGUAAUUUUGGCUUCUAAAAGUGACUUAUAUUUCACAAUGUGCUGCAUUGAUUUUGCUGUUAUACAGUUAGACUUUUUUUCUCAGAGAGAAGAUCAAGAGAGAUCAAUGAAGAGGAGGCAAUGCUUUAUUUAUUCAGCAUAGAAUUGAUCGUUAUCCAGAUCGUGAAAAGCUUAUGAUAUUGUAAGGGCCAACUCUUUACAAGUGACUUUGGUUGGCUAAAGAAUGGUUGAAAGAAGUUGACUUUGGCUGUUUUGGUUUCUAUCGAGUCAAUAUCGUGAAACUUUAGUUGCGAAGUGGCUCCUUUCUCUCAUGAAACACAAAAUGUUUAGUAGCCUCGGAAUUGAUUUAGAAACUUGAAAAAUACUCGCAAAACAAAUACCAUAUGUUCAAAAGAACUUUUAUCUUUAAAUAAUCUAGCCAAUCGUAUUAUCAAUCAAUAGAAAAGUUGAUAACAUCUAAUUUAAUUGAAUGGAAAGAACAAAAGUGCCGUAUACAUAUAAUUUUGCCUUGCGUCAAAAUACUAUCAUUAGAUUUAAAAUCGCAUUAGCUACAACUCUCAGAAAGAGAAAAAAAGAAGAUAGAACAGCGUAUGGAGUGGUGCAAGAAGACGGAAGUGUCACGGGAUUAGAAGGGCAAAGUCAAAGUCAACGAAGACUUGGACUACCAAGAGUCCAUGAUGAACCAGCUUGCUCUGGAAGGAAUCACACCAAUGAUCCAUUUACUUGGCACUCUGUGCCUCCCAAUCAGACUUCCAUAAAUUUAGAGAUUUUAUUAUAAAAAUAUUUCACUAAGAUCAUUCUGUAAAAUCCUACACUUAUUCAUUAUUCUCUCAUUCAACCCCCAAUAAUCAUAUGACAACAAAUCGAUGUCCAAUUCUCAUAUCCAUUGAUAAUUCCAUCUUACUAUUUCUUUCAAUCGAAUAACAUCAUGUGAAAACAAACUCUUAGGUUGUGUUUAUCUCACUGAGAAUUUUUUUUUGUUGCGGGAAAAUGUUUUAGGAAAUUCAAUCUCAGAAAAAGUAAACACAAAAUUUUGAUUGUGCUGAAAACAAGUUGAAGAAAUUUAUUUUAUCAUAAUUGGUAAUCAGUGAAUUCAUUAAGGGUGGCUUGUAUAGUUAAAAGUAACAUGUGAUGACUAAUAAACUGGAUAUGAUAUCAUCACCGUUUAUUCUAUAAUCCACGAAAAUAACAACGAUUACAAAGAAAUUAGGACAAAAAUCAAGGAAAACAAAUCUUCUUGCUAAGUCAUUUUUCUCUAAGCUUAUUUAUUACUUUUUAGCCCAUGGUAAACGUUUUUAUGGAUCGAGUAGCUUUACAUGAUUCAAACACUGGAAAGUAAGGAAAGAAAUAUUCCAAAAGUGAUUUUUCAUCAAACAAAGAAGGAAGAUCGUGAGGGGCAAUUCCAGUUUUUUUUUUUUUUUUUUGGGGAAAAGUAUUACCCUUCGGCCCAAAAUUGUACGAGUGUUUGCACGCUAACAUUGUUGAUGAAUCCAUACCCAAAAAAGACAUUGAUAGAUGUUAAAUUGGUAUGACGAUAGACCAUAUAAUUGAUGCCAAUAAAGAGAUCCAAAGUGAACAAUCAUAUCCCUUCAUAUUCUUUCUUGUCUCGAAAAGGAGAAGAACAUAAGUGAAAUGCUAAAAAGAAGGUGGACGAAUGUAAGGUCUCAAGCGCAUAGAGAAAGAGGAAAAGGCAAAGCAAGAAUAUAUUCCAUUACACUUUUGUUAAAGUUAGCAUUAUGUUCAUUUCAUGAAAAAUGAAUGAUAAUCAUCGUUUAUAUUUCUUGAAAUAAUUAAUUAAUGAAUUUUUUUUACUAUCAAUAAUAAUUUAUGUCUAUAUAUUUUCAUAGAUAAUGAAAAUAUCUUUAAUUUAUUCAUUUUUAUGAAUGAUAUAAAAUGUUUUCCAAAUCGUUCAUUUUUUAUGAAAUAAAUGGAGAAUAAGUUGAAGCUCGUUUAUUUUGCAUAUUAGUUUCAAAUUAAGGUCGGAGCUCUUUCAGCUAAAAUAGAGAGGAAUCCGUCCCAUUUAUUAUUCAAAAAAACCGCAUCUCCAAAUUAUACCACUUCUUGGACCCUAAAAAUUGUGAGAGACAACUUGUUAUCAAGGAGGUAUAAUUUUUUAAAAACUUAUAACUUUGACAAGUGGUCUAAAGUCACUUUAGACCAUACUAAAAUCGCAUCAUAUCCACAUUGGCUCCAUUUGCCUAUCAAUGUCCAAGCAAGUGGUCACAUUGGAUUUUUAACGGCCGUCUUGAAUGGAACUGUGACGCAUAAUAUUUGCAAGUCACUGAUACAAGUUUAUAUAUAGUAUUAGUAACAAGUAAAAGAAUUGGGUUUCGUUGUCACACCAGGCAAGGUUUAGGCUUUUUGGUGGAAUUCUCCUGAGUCAUGUCUGCUUCAUUUGUCUACUGUUGUCCAGGCAAACAGGCACAUUAAAUCUUUAAUGACCAUCUUGGAUGGAGAGUACUUUUGGAUUUUUGAUACAAGUUUCGAUUUUUUAUGAUAUCAAAAAAAGUUAGAAUAAUUAGUGUCAUAGUUAAUAUAGUUUAGGAUUUUUACGUGUCGCCCACCCAUUGCCAUCACAAGCCCUCACCUUCAUGUGUGAAUCCACCGGCGACCUCAACUCCUCACCAAUUUGACUUGUUUGCUAUCCUUUGGUCUCUUUUUUUCUCCCCAUGGAACUCAACCUAUGUGUAGAAGUCGCGACAGACGGAGGUUGCUGGCCUCGCACGGCUGUGGUUGCAUGUGGCCACGGUAUCGGGGCUCGACUCAAUUAAUUUGCUCGAUUUUUUAAAUUUUAGAACUUUGUAAGAUUUCAAACUACAACCAUCCCAUCAAAUGAAUUGGGUUGGAUAAUGUUUUGAUCUGAUCUAGAGAGACUAAUUGUCCAUAUUUCUAGAAGUGACAUUAGGAAGAAAUUAUUUAUAUUAUAGAGAUUCAAAAAGAUUUGAACUUUUGUCUUUUUUUUUUUAAUUUUAUUUUAAGGGGAAUAAAAACUUUGCACUUACCAAAAAAAAAAAAAUUGCACUGUGCUGUGUCCAAUAUAAAUGCAAUCAUGUUGUUUGUUGAGAUGUAAGACCCUUCGGGAAUUAUUUAAGUUCGUGAGACUCGAGUCAAAUUUUUUUAACAAGAAAACUCUGCAUUGUGCUAUGUCCAUAUUUGUAGAAGUGACAUUUGGAAGGAUACUCCGCUAGCCAUGGUCUGUUUGCUAGUUUAACCUUCCAAUGACAUUCCACCACUUUAAUACUUCAGCUUACACUUGUUUGCAAGCACAGCUGAAGUAUUUUUUUAAAUACAUUGAUUUUUUUUUUUUUUUGGUAAUAUGAAAGCCUUGGGCAAGAAUUCAAACAGUCACCGAAGUGUAGGAUUCGUAAUUUAGUUUUGCUCAUCAAAUAAAAGGAUGUGAUCAAAUAUGAACUCGAAAAGGAGAGUGGAGGGCCAAAUCUCUAGAAUCAACCUUAGAAAGGGACAAUUUUCGUUCCCAAGAUAUGAGAAGAGACAACUUACAUCAAAGCGGAUGUGCUUGGUUGGUCUUGGAGACCAACUUAUGCAUCAUAGCACGUGAAACGUUGUUGCUACUAUUCUUUUUUUUCUUCCUCAAAGCUAGUGUAGUGUGAACAAUGUUUAGGAAAUGCCAGAUGAAAGAUGGAGGCCUUUUCCGAUGUGUAGAGAAUAAUCCUUCAGAACCUUUUAUGAAAUUGCAGUUGAAUAUUAUCUCCUCAGAAGGCAUUCAGAGGGGGGAAAAAUAGUGUGCACCAUACACUAUAGAGUGUGAAUCCCAACACUUGCCCAUUCGCUCCUUGAGAUUUUAAAGUGCCGCUUACUCCCUUAGUAGUACCGAAACGCGACACGACACAUCAAUAUGUCAUUUAUAAAAAAUAAGGAGUUUCGACAUGUUGGGAUACGUUAUAUAUUAAAUAAAUAUUUUUAUUUUUAAUUAAUUUGAUUCAAAUUCAUAAAUAAUUAAUUAAAAGAAGAGCAUACAAUGAAAAUACACUAAUAAUAUUAAUGAAUCAAUUCAUUGGAAAUUAGAAAGAUAUAUUCAUAAUUAAUAUGUAUCCAUAUUUGGAAAUAUAUUUUUAAUUUUAACCAAAAUUAUUGAUGAAAUCGAUAAUUAAUAAGAAAUUAGAAUCAACUUGUUUAAAUAAAUUCAUAAUCUUCAAAUUCAUAAUCUUCUACAAUGAUAAAAAUUUAUUAUCAUUUAAAAUUCAGUACUUUUAUUUUUUAGAAUUAUUUUUUAAUCUUAUUUAUUUAUUCGAUUAAAAAAAAUCUCCUUGAGGGGUCCAUCGCCAACCCCCACUCCUUUCUUUCUUUCGUAUAUUUCCCCCCGGCCCCAAAUUUAUUUCAAUUUUUUUUCCCACUCUUCCCCACGUCAGACCAUUUCCCCCCCCCCACCCCCAAAUUUAUUUAACUCUUUUUCCCAUCCCCCACCCACGUGACAGGCUGUCACUUCACCCCCCAUCCANNNNNNNNNNNNNNNNNNNNNNNNNNNNNNNNNNNNNNNNNNNNNNNNNNNNNNNNNNNNNNNNNNNNNNNNNNNNNNNNNNNNNNNNNNNNNNNNNNNNUGACAGGCUGUCACUUCACCCCCCAUCAGCCUCUCUUUUUUAUCCUUUUUGAGUUACCAAAACCCAAGCAAGCGCGUCCUUCUCCUCCUCCUCUCGCCGCUCGCCGCACCCGCACGACCCCCUUCCUCUCCUUUUCCUCUCGAUACUUCUCCUCCUCCUCGCCGCACGACCCCCUUCCUCUCCUCUUCCUCUCUAUCCUUCUCCUCCUCCGCCUCGUCGCCGAUCCGUCGCAGCGUCAGUGACCGCCCUCGCCUCAGUCUCUACUCUUUGUCUGGCGGUUUCUCGCCGUCGCGGGCUCGCCGUUGCUCGUUACUCCAUCCUGAUCUUUAAGUGCCGCCUCUCAUCUCUGCUAUUCCACCAUUCCCCUGUAUUUCUAUCUGAAAACCUUCUCUUUGCUAACUCACAAAAAGCUUGAGCACUUGCUGUUGCCUGUAUUGUGACAGUUGCUGCCAUAGCUCUCUCUGCCAUCCUGUUCAAAGGAUUCCUGAAGAAAAGAGCUGGUCAGACCGCUGUGGAGGGCAGUGCAGAUAAUAAUUCAGCUACACAGAAUGGUACCGUAGAGAGGGCUGCUCGUACUUGCACUACACCACAAGUUGAGGAAAUGGCAACAUCUUCCGGAUAUGACUAUGAAGUAUUCUUGAGUUUCAGAGGGCUUGACACACGAUCAGCUUUUACCGACUUCCUUUAUACUUAUCUUAUAGAUGCAGGAAUCCGCACAUUUAGGGACGAUGACGCGCUCCGUGUCGGCGAAGAGUUUGCCCCAGAACUUCUUGAAGCAAUCAAUCAGUCGAAGAUCUUAAUACCUAUCUUUUCAAAAGGUUAUGCCUCUAGCGUAUGGUGUCUCAGAGAGCUAGUUCAAAUGGUCAAGUGCCAGAAAAAUGAAGGACAAAAGAUCAUGCCCAUUUUUUAUGAUGUGACACCUUCGGAGGUUCGACACCAAACCGGGAGUUUUGAAAAUGCUUUUGUUUCACACAAAAGAAAGAAGCGAUAUGAUGAAAAGACUAUAGCAGAGUGGAAGGAUGCUCUCACUACAGUCGCGGAUAUAAAUGGAUGGGACCUGCAAAGCAUGCCCAACAGGUGACUACUUUUAGCAUUCCAUCUCAUGUGCCUUGUAUCGUUAAACUCGAUGCAUUUAAAUUGGUUUCUUUUCUAAAUUUGUGUUAGUCUUGUUGAAAUUGAAUUGUAUGCAAUUGAAAUUAUGCAGCAAAAUCAGGCUAAAUAAUAUCACAAUGUCAAUUUUUGUCCCAUUUCAUUCCCAGCAAGCAACAUUUUUCGUUAGUUCAGAUCAUUCAUUUACCCUAAGUUCCAGUGCUAGUUUAUCAAAAUGGUAUAAAUCGUUGAGGAACGCAUUUAUAAUAGGUCUGUAGUUUUCAAUUUGGUUUUGUCAGAGCAUAGUUUGGCUUAACUCAAUUUUCUAACUCAUUCCCUUUUGACUUUCAACAAACAAUAGGCGAGAAGGUCAGUUUGCAAAAGAAAUCACGCAGAAGGUUUUCAAUGAGUUGAAAAGGGCUUAUUUGGUAGUAUCAAAUUACUUGGUCAAUGUCGACAACCAUGUGGAUGCAAUCAUGGAAUUGAUAGGUCCUCAUACAAGUGGAACACGGAUUAUAGGAAUCUAUGGGAUGGGCGGCAUCGGGAAGACGACAAUUGCCAAAAUCAUCUAUAAUCAGCUUAUAGAAAAAUUUGAGUGCUAUUGCUUUCUGUCUGACAUCCGUGAAACGUCAGAACAACGCGGGGGCAUUGAAUCCUUGCAAAAUCAGCUCAUCUCCAGCAUUCUCAAAAAGAAAUGCACAGAUAUAAGAAACAUUGAUGAUGGGAUUAAUACCAUCAAAGACAGAUUGUCUAAUAAAAGAGUCCUCCUCCUUCUCGAUGAUGUGCAUAAAAAGAAGCAUAUGGAUGCACUUGCAGGUGAGUGUGAUUGGUUUGGUAAAGGGAGCCUACUUAUUAUUACUACUAGAAAAAAAGAAGUUCUUGAUGUUCUUAAAGUGGACGGCUGUUAUGAGCUUUCGGGCAUGGAUCACGAUCAAUCUCUUCAACUCUUUAGCAAACAUGCCUUUAGAAGAGAUCAUCCUUUGGACGAGUAUAUCGACCAAUCCGAGAGGGCGAUAAAAAUUGCUGGAGGUCUUCCACUAGCUCUUGAGGUCAUGGGUUCACGUUUAUCUUGCACUACUGAAAAGAAAAAGUGGGAUUUCGAAUUACGUAAGUGGGAAAGUGAUCCUCAUAAGGAUGUCCAGAGUAGAUUGAAAAUAAGUUAUGAUGAAUUAGAAGAAAAGGAAAAGCAAAAGUUCCUUGAUAUAGCUUGUCUCUUAAUUGGAUAUGAUAAAGACAUUGUAGUUCAUUUUUGGGAAUCUGAAUUCCAUCCGGAAUAUGCCAUGGAUGUUUUGGAGAACAUGUCUUUGGUAAAGAUUAAAGAGGAUAAUAAAGUGUGGAUGCACGACCAACUUAGAGACCUUGGAAGACAAAUAGUUUGUCAAGAAACCAAUAUAAAUAAACAAAGUAGGGUGUGGGAUCGUGAGAAAGCGUUGGAUUUGCUGAAGAGCCCUAAGGUAAAAUCCCCUGUGCAUUAAUUUCCAAGUUACUUAUGGACAUUUUUGCUUUUUUAAGAUUAAUGGACGGUAGUACUCAACUCAGUCCCUUAAAAUAGUGAAUUUGGCUAAAUGUGUUUCCCUUCAACUCUCUUGUUUUUAAAAAUUUUCCUUUGGGCAGAUGAAGAAAAAAGUUGAAGCUCUUCGCCUCCGCUUGGACCAUCAGCACCGUUUUACCUACAAGGACUUUAAGAGCCUAUCAAGGCUAAGGUUCCUUAAAGUUGAUGACUUGGAGCAAACUUUUUGUGUAGAAAAGAUGCUUCUUCAGCACAAAGGGCCAUCAAGUGUUCUUCCAAUUGAUGUUUUGGAUUCAAAUCUCCUUCCAGAAUUACGCUGGCUUUCUUGGCAUAAUAUUCACCCAACAUUUGAGAUUGCAAAUUUCUCCGUAGAGAAUUUGACUAUCCUAGAUCUAUCUCGGAGUGAAAUUACUCAUGAUUGGAAGGGGUGGAGCCACAUGAAGGUAUGUCAUAUGCUAGACGAUACUUGUUCUUCCAUCUCAUUAAAUUUGAAAGUAAUCUGUGCAUGAUUUUUCUUUCACAGGGGAUUAAGAAUUUGAAAGUUCUGAAUCUGGCCCAUUGCCAAUGCUUGGAGAGAACCCCCAACUUCUCAGCUCAUUCAAAUUUGGAAUAUUUGAUCCUAUCAUGGUGUAAAUCAUUAAUCGAAAUUGAUAGAUCGAUUUCCCAGUUGAAACACUUGGUUUUCUUAGAUGUAAGCAAUUGUGGGAGUCUUCAGAGGCUGCCGGAUGAGUUGGGUAGAGAUCUGGUUUUCUUAGAUGUAAGCUAUUGUGAGAGUCUUCAGAGGCUGCCGGAUGAGUUGGGUAGAGAUCUUGCAAGCCUCAAAUACCUAUCUCUAAGGGGAUGCUCGAGUUUGAAGAGGCUUCCGGAGACAAUUGGGAAUUUGGAAUCGCUGAUUGAGUUGAACAUAGGUGGCCUUACAACGAAAAUCAAAGAACUACCCGAUUCCAUCAAAAAGUUGAAGAAUUUGAAAAUAGUGAAUAUGCAGUAUGGUGACAUAGGCAAAAUACACAAUACCUUUUGGACGAUGGAGAAGCUUGAAAAAAUAAAUAUCAUCCACGAGGCUUAUCAUUACGGGGGUUUACACGUGGAAAUUGGUGAUGGCAUCUAUGAGAAUAAAUCCUUGAGGAUCUUGAGAUUGGAAGGGGUGAGAAUACACGCCCUACCAAGGCUUCCCGAAAGUCUCAUCGAAUUACAAGUGGAGGAGUUGAGGGUGGUUCCAGAUCUCUCAAAUCUCGCUAACUUAAAGGUAUUGAAACUGGGCUUUGGCCCACCUGAUCCUGAUGGGAAAUUUUAUGGGUUUCUGGAAGAACUGACACCACGGGGGAUUGGGAACUUAACCAAAUUGAAGCCUCUGACACUCUGGUAUUCCAGGGGGAGCGCCUCAUCGACAGACCUGAGCCUCCCUCCUCAUCCGCGUCGCCUCACGGGGCUUCCCUCAAAUUUAUCCUCCUUAGAACUCCGUGAUUGCGACUCACUUUGCUCGAUGGAUCUAUCGAAUUUGAGGAAACUAUCGUCUCUCUUGAUUUGGGACUGUGCAGUUGCAGAGAUUGAAGGCCUUGGUUGUUUGGAGAACCUACGAGAUUUGAACCUUCAGGGCGACGGACAGCUGGCGAUGCUACCUGAUCUAAGCAAGUUAAACAAGCUGAGGGAAAUUAAAGUACGCAAUUGUGGUAAUCUGGUUGAGAUUCAAGGCGAACUACCGCGGUUUUUGGUUGAUAUUUUAAUUUAUCGCUGCGAUUCGUUACGGGAGUGCCCCGAUCUGUUCAGCUUACCCGAUCUGUUCAGCUUAAUGGGUAAGAAAGAUGUUUGUAUGCAUAUUCUCGAUCAGGUGUUUUAUUAUACAGAUGGACAUCGAUUGCUGGUUCGUGGCUUUAAACAGAUGCAGAUCCCUGAUCUAAGCAAUUGUAACGGACUAACAAUUCUUACAGUAGAAUCUUGUCAUAAUCUGGUUGAGAUUCAAGGCAAACUACCCCAAUCUUUGGAAGAAUUGUACAUUAAAUCUUGUGAAUCUUUACAGAAGUUACCUGAUCUGUCAAGCUUGACGGGACUGAGAAAGGUUACAAUAAGACGUUGUGGGAAAUUAGCGGUGGAGGAAAUUUCUCGGCUUUGCUCGGAGAAGUCAAUCAAAUUUCUGGGAGAAGACGAUGAAGAAGAUGAAUAAGUGCACGUUGCACUUGGAAGCUUUUUGAUGCGCGACCACAAAUUGUUCCCUUGUGUUCAAACCUUAAACGAAUUGAGGUAAGUACCAAUGUUUUCCUUUUUUUGGCAAUCAAAUUCUUUCACAUAUAUGAACAGAGAAGUUUUGCAUGCACUUUUUAACGACCUUUUAGCGGAUUCUUGUCUGAAAAUCUGAUGAAGGUAUUUAAAUUAUGAUGCCUCUGAACAGCCAGAGGGCUCUUAAUUAUGUACGAGUAUUUGUGUUCUUUUCCUAGUUUGGUUUGGCUUUUUUAGCUACAUUUUCUUAGGAUGGUUUCUCCUAGAGGUAUGCAUGUUGAUUGCAUCAUUUUUAUUUGAUAUGUAACAAAUUAUUAGAGAUCGUUGUUGAUUUGCUGCUUCACACAUAUUUUGAAAUUGAUAACCUCACUUCGCAUGGGAGAUAAAUUCGCUAUGCUGUAAACAAAUAGAUGGAAUGUGUGUUGGAAGGUCACACAACUAUGGUUCUCAUCCUGGGACUUUACAACACAAUCAACUCACUGUUGCGACUUUGACGUAGACAGACACUCUGUAUUGCCAUGCUUAAGUUCAGUUUAUUUUGCAGGAAAGGUGUGCUUCUUAGUGGGAUUUGCAAAUGUUAUGGAGAAGUCAUAAAUGAGGGAGCCACCGCAAUUCUGAGAUUACUGGUGUGGUAGCACUGGCUAAAGCAGCAGCACCAUAAUAUUUAUCUCAGCAAUGAUGCCUUCAAUCAUAGCAAUCUUUGACGGGCACACUGACAAAAAUCAUUCUGUGCAGCAAACAUCGCCUACAGGAGUAAUUGAGAGAAUGCAGCAUUCGCUGUACCAGUAAAGAAGGAGCACCCUUUUGCUGAGACUUGAGAAUUGCACUCACUUACAAAAGAUUGGUAAGAAAAAGAGAACACCUUCCCUUGGGGCUGCCUUCAGUAUUAGAACUGUGCAUUCUGAAGCAAUAUUGGCAUUGUUUUUGUCAUGAGAUCCACUCAAUUCUAGUAAAACACUGGCACUGCCACCAAAGUUGGUAAUGCGUCAUAUGCUGCUCGCCACCUCAGAAGAACUUUCAUCAAGUAGUGGUGGCUCUUCCAUGUACUUGAAAACUUUCGUAGAACCUGGUGAUCAUAAAAGAAGAGCUUUGCACAAGCCAAGCAUCAAUUUGAGAAAAUCUUCCAAAUUCUUCCCAUGUACAAACUCCAAAAGAUUUCCAAUCCACCGUGUUACUUUUAGCUGAGAAAGCAACUUGGGAUCCAUAUCCUGAGCCAAUGCCAGAGCCACGCGCAGCUCAACAUCAUUCACAUUUGCACAGGACAGAUCACCAAGUGAAAAUCUGAAGCAGUGGCUGACUGUCUUUAGGUGUGGAAUCUCAGAAAUUUUAGUCAAGUUGAACUUUAUGAGCAUCAGGGACAGCUUCUGCGCAAACAUUGGUAUUGUGGUCCUCAUCCUCAAUCAAGGUUGGGUAAAGAGGGAGAAAUUGCACCAAGGACAUGGAUUUCAAGUUUGCCAGCUUAAGCUCUAACUCUGGAGUUUUGAUUAGGAAAAUGAACGUCGCAUCAAACGGAAUCUUGAGGCACAGAAGUCUGGCAUCACCAUCUUUGUUGCCCUUAUACAGAACAUCCAGACUCAGCAAAAUCCCACAGAUGAAUACGUUAGAGCUUUCAGCUCUGUGAUAGACUCAACGCCAGCAUUUUGAGCCGGCAAUGCAGGUUCUAGGAGCGGAUCAGUGUUGUGCUCUUGUUUUCUUUUUCAAUCUUGAACUGCUUUUGGAUCGUGUUUGUAAUUAGUGUGCUGAAUUAUGCUUCGUGUGAGUGUGAACCAUCUAAGUUUUGCCUGUCCAGUGUUUGGUGAUCAUGUGCAAUUUUGGUGUUUGACGAAAUGAGUUAUGUGCUUGAGUCUGCGUGUGCUAGAAUGUCACCUUCAAGAAGCACCUGAAGCUGAAGCUGAAGCGCAAGGUCUAUUGUGACGGUUUCCUCUCACCUGCACCUCCACUGGCAAGGUACCUUCGCUUUCACUACUAAUCUCUGCUAGUGAUGUCCAGCUCAACCUGGUCUGCAAUUCAGUUACCUUUGAUUAGGCUUGGACAUGAUUCGGUUUGAUUGGCUAAUCUGUGUCAAAAUUGCUGGCUAUUGAUUUAUUACCGUUUUCCCCCAUAUUUAGGUUGCUCGAUCGAACUGAACAGCAGCAGCUUGAUGCUGCUUACGAUUUCAUUUUUUCUAUCAUCACGGAUUGUUCUGUUCUGUGCUUCUGGUUGUAAUACUCGCCGUGAUUGAGCUUGUUUUGAGUAGAUUAGUCCAUGCUGUGAUUGAUGGUCGGAUAAUGCCAUAUCAUGGCAGCGAGCAGCUGUUGGGAUGCAGGAUUUUGAAGAAUGAUGAAGUUAUUUGUUCUGGUCAGUCACUGAUUUCAAUGCUUAUUUGGUUGAUGUUGGAGAGCCUGGAGGAGGACAAAAGCCUCUAGAUGAUACUUAUAUUCACAGCCUGAUUAUUGUUUGGCAAUUGGAUUUAUAAGUUCCCUCUGCCGAGGGUAUUCCUUGCUUGUCUUCUUCAUAGUUGUUUUGUUGGUUCAAAUCAUCAGUAGGUGCAAUGUGAUGAAUGUGAAGUUCUUGGGUUUGGUUUGGUAAAAGUCCAAAUGGGUAUAUUUUACUUAUUAUUUGUCUUGGAAAAAAGAGCAUUGCUUGCAUACAAAUACGCAUAGACCCUCCUUUGUGAUGCUUUGCUAGUUGCUCGUGUGGGAAAUUAAAUAUUUGUUCUUUUGCUUGCUUCAAACAGCUACUUGGGUACAGUUCAUGUGUUGAUUGAUUUAGAAUCUAGAUGUAAACAUUUGCAGUUGGUCUACUGUUGCUUUUGUUCAAUGUAACUGAUCUUUUGAAACUCCAUUUUUUUCGUAAGUUUUUCCUUUUGUUAACCUUACUUUCAAUUGAUGCAGAGCUUUGGUUGAGUUUCUGGAUAUGAGGUUCAGUAUAAUCCCCUCUAUGAAUUACAAGGUGUGUUUUCCUUUUAGCUACUUAAAUCCUUUCGCAUGGAAUCUACAGUUGUAUUGCCUACAUAACUUUUCAUUUUCUGCAGAUGCUCCUAAUUCCUCAAAAACCGAAAAAGAAACACUGGUUAUUUUAGAAGAAACUGGUCGCUUAUGAUGUUGCAACCUGCCGGAAAUGGGAACCAAAUUGAUACCGUCCCUAUACCCUACAUAUAUAGAUUCUACAUCCCAAAUAGCACAGCUUGCUUUACAAUGCUUCCUAAUGACUUCUAACGAGCAGCCUUCGUGGACUAAAGUCAUGGAAGAACUGGAAUCAGUACACUGGAAUAGAAUGGGAUAGUUAAAUUCACUUAGUAUGUCAUUCUAACUUCAUGCGAUGUAAGUCAAAGUCUGUUGUUCCACACUUUUCCAUUUUUCCCGGGAAUAAUCCUGGGCUUUGAAUGUUCAUUUCUAUUGUACCCAGCAGUUACUAGGAGUUGUCUUCUCUUGUAAGUUCUUUGGAAUAUCCAUGACAUGUAUAUUAAUACAUGCACCGCUUUGUGAAUUGAGAUGUGAUUGUACUUAUGAUUAUGAGAGGAACAGUUCUUUAAGGCUAAUCCUCGAUCUUGUUGGCAAUCUGAGGUCCACAGAAGAAGUCCAUUGCUCUUCAAGAGUCCGAGCUCUUUAAUUUUCUUGCAUGCUUGGGCUUUGAACAUGAGCAAAAGCUCAUUUUGGUUGCCAUCACGAAUGUGUUUAUGUGGUGCUUGCUCUGCAAUCAAUCUCCAGGAAGUGCUAGGCGGUUCAUUCCAUUCUCAUAGUAUUUUUGAGCUAUGAGACAUGGUUGGGGAAAUUGAUGGAGUCAUGUAAGGCAAAGUGCUGCUCAGUUGUCCAUUCAGAAAGAGCAAGAUAUGACUUUUGGUGCUGUCAUGUUGCAGCUAAGACAUGUCUGAUUGUUUUGUGCUAAUAAGAGACAUAUUUCUUAUCAUAUGCUAGUUUUAGAUAAGACUUUCCAUAUGACAUCAUAAAUGACUAAAUUUUAUUUUUAUAUUCUCAGUAACUUAGCCCAUUGGUUAUUGUACUUUCUUCACUGUUUGUAAAUCUGAGGGCCCUAUUAUUUUCGACACCUCUCAUGUAAUUUUUAUUUUUAUUUUUGAACUUGUUGAUAUAUCUCUUUUACAUCACUCUUAAUGCAAAAAUAUAGAAGUUUCCAUCAUUUUGUUUUUUUUUUUAAACAAAUUAAAAAAAUAAAUAAAUUGAUUACACUAAAGAACUUUCCAAAUAUAUGUUUCUCAAAUAGUAUUUUCCCAAUGUUACUUCUCAAGUCAUUUUAAAUUGCAAAUUACCAAAUAGUCUUUGCAUUUCACAUAACUCCUUUAGGCUAAGGGCCUUUACAUUAACCAAAGGCUUUCCCAAAAGUCAAAGCAAACGCACCCAUAAAUGGGUACUUGAAAUUGAGCUUUAUGCAGACCUUUGUGCUUAAUUGUUGUUGCCCUGCUAUGUGACCCACUGUUUUGUGUAAAUCAGCGAUAUAGUCGUCGUCAUCAUGGCUGAAGCGCUCUUGGAGAUCCGGCCUCAUGAAGUCAAGUUUAUCUGUGAGUGUAUAUAGUGCUGCGCGUUUGGUUCAUUUUUAUUUUGGAGCUACAUUCAAUUUGCGUUGCUUGCCUCCUGCUUUACUAGGCAAUUAGUGAAGGGGAUGAUAUUUCUUUGUUCUACAAUAAUUUGCUUGAGAAUUUGUGGUUCAACAUCGUAAAUAAUGGUAAAAGAAAUAUCUUAAAUAAGAGCUUCAAUGGCGAGUAUGAAUCGGUUAUUGGUCGCCCUGUUUUUCAAAUUCUUUUCCUUGUGUUUUUUUCAAAUUUUUGGCUAGGUUCUUUCUUUUUGCAUAGUUUCUAUCCUCGCACCACAAACUUUUAGAAUGCCUUGUGAGGUGAAUUUCUUUCCGGAGAUAAAGUAAGUGAGUGUUGUAACCAAAUGACUGAGAAUGAUCGGUAGAGAAAACCAACACGCAAAAUGAGAUUUCGUUGCUGCAUUAUGUCUUCAAAGAAAAUGUAUGAUGGUCCAUUUCAUCACAUCCUACUCUCAUGUUGUGCCCCGUUAAGUUCUUUUAUCUGAAGCCUCUUCUCCAUGUUUAUGCAGUUGAGUUGAGUAAACAAAGCUCAUGCUUGAUUCUGCUACGCAACAAGACUGAUUGGUAUGUUGCUUUCAAGGUGAGGAUUUUUUGCACCUUUUCAUUCACCAUGAUCGUGCUUUACUUUUUUUUAGGUAUGGUGGGCGACCAAUUUUCUUUCAAUUCUGUAUUCUCUUGAUGUAGUUUAAAUUUCAGAGUAGGAUAUCAAUGCAUUAAAAGCUUUCUACUAUUGAGAAACAUUAUGAGCUUUAUACUGGAUAUCCAAAACAUUCCAGGUUAAGUCUACAUCUUUGAAGAAAUACUGUGCGCGAUCAAAUGUAGGCAUCAUCAAGCCAAAUGGAGCAUCUGAUUCAAAAUAGUGCUGCUCAAGUCCAAGGAACAUCAUGUUCACAUACUUAUUAAAGCCACUAACAUACUUGUGAGGAGGGACACGCCUACAGUACCUAAAUCAGCUAAAUAAUUCUUUUGCAAUUUCUUUGCCAUGACAUGUCAAUUGGACUUUAUUAUUGUUGGGUUACAAACUACUUAAGGUAGAGUCAGUCUAAUUACAGCAAGGAUCAUCUUUGAAUAAGAUUUUGAAUGCCUACCAUAGUAGCCUAAUAUACAUUGAGACAAAGGAAAACCACGAUAGGCCUCAGAAGCUAUGUCCUGAUACUUCAAAAGAAUUGGAGUAGGCCUUUCAUCCCAUCUUCUGUUUGAUGUAGUUACCAUGUAAGCACGACAGGUAGCUCCAACUAUCCUGUAGUGCAAAGAUAAGUUUUUGAUACAGGUGAAGAGGACUACUGACAUGGUAGGUUUUGCUGCUAUUUGCUCCAUAAUCUUCCAGGUCAAGUAACUCGAGAAAUUUUCUUUUAAAUUUUCAAAUUGAUAAAGAAAGUGGUAAAUACAUAGAUGAGAGGAAGAUAAAAGCAGUUCUAACCAGUCCAGUGGAAUCACUAUCAAGNNNNNNNNNNNNNNNNNNNNNNNNNNNNNNNNNNNNNNNNNNNNNNNNNNNNNNNNNNNNNNNNNNNNNNNNNNNNNNNNNNNNNNNNNNNNNNNNNNNNNNNNNNNNNNNNNNNNNNNNNNNNNNNNNNNNNNNNNNNNNNNNNNNNNNNNNNNNNNNNNNNNNNNNNNNNNNNNNNNNNNNNNNNNNNNNNNNNNNNNNNNNNNNNNNNNNNNNNNNNNNNNNNNNNNNNNNNNNNNNNNNNNNNNNNNNNNNNNNNNNNNNNNNNNNNNNNNNNNNNNNNNNNNNNNNNNNNNNNNNNNNNNNNNNNNNNNNNNNNNNNNNNNNNNNNNNNNNNNNNNNNNNNNNNNNNNNNNNNNNNNNNNNNNNNNNNNNNNNNNNNNNNNNNNNNNNNNNNNNNNNNNNNNNNNNNNNNNNNNNNNNNNNNNNNNNNNNNNNNNNNNNNNNNNNNNNNNNNNNNNNNNNNNNNNNNNNNNNNNNNNNNNNNNNNNNNNNNNNNNNNNNNNNNNNNNNNNNNNNNNNNNNNNNNNNNNNNNNNNNNNNNNNNNNNNNNNNNNNNNNNNNNNNNNNNNNNNNNNNNNNNNNNNNNNNNNNNNNNNNNNNNNNNNNNNNNNNNNNNNNNNNNNNNNNNNNNNNNNNNNNNNNNNNNNNNNNNNNNNNNNNNNNNNNNNNNNNNNNNNNNNNNNNNNNNNNNNNNNNNNNNNNNNNNNNNNNNNNNNNNNNNNNNNNNNNNNNNNNNNNNNNNNNNNNNNNNNNNNNNNNNNNNNNNNNNNNNNNNNNNNNNNNNNNNNNNNNNNNNNNNNNNNNNNNNNNNNNNNNNNNNNNNNNNNNNNNNNNNNNNNNNNNNNNNNNNNNNNNNNNNNNNNNNNNNNNNNNNNNNNNNNNNNNNNNNNNNNNNNNNNNNNNNNNNNNNNNNNNNNNNNNNNNNNNNNNNNNNNNNNNNNNNNNNNNNNNNNNNNNNNNNNNNNNNNNNNNNNNNNNNNNNNNNNNNNNNNNNNNNNNNNNNNNNNNNNNNNNNNNNNNNNNNNNNNNNNNNNNNNNNNNNNNNNNNNNNNNNCCCCCCCCCCCCCCCCCCCCCCUCCACCACCGGCGCCGAUCCUCUACUCCCUUUUUCCCCAAAACUUGGUUUUGCCCCACAAGACGGGGUGCAAGCUGUAGCCUCCCCUUGGCCACAUUGUCCCUAGGUUCCAGCCCCCUUUUACUAAAAACCCCUCUCCGCCCCUUUUUUGGGUUUUUCCGUUUUUGCCCCCCCCCCCCCCCCCCUUCCUCCUCCUCCUCUCUCUCCCCCCCAUAGAAUAUGGUAUCUUCUUGGUGGCCUGUUAUUUGACUACCCUCUCUGUUUUAUAGUACAUUCCACUUAUGUAUAUGUUGCUCUUUGCUUGAAAAAAUUCUACUUCAUUAUGCAGUAUGGUUCUGGUACCGAGACAUCAGACCGAAGAUGUGCACUGUACUGCAUACAGCUAGAUGAAUAAUGGACGUAUUUUGCUCCAAGAGAUUUCAAUUUUCCACCCAAGUAGCUGUAGUUGCUGCAUGUUGCGAAAAGAUCCAUGCCCAAAGCGAACUAACUUGUUUUGACCAUGCCCGGUUUUUUGUCGUUCAUGCUUUCAAAGUGGUUGGCUAUUUGGGUGGAGUGCUGUUUCUUGUUUUUGCGGUAGUGACAUUCAUCGGAGUUUUCUAGAGGUUUUCAAUCUGCUGAAAGAGUGGGCUCCGAGCUCGUGAGGUGUGAUAUUGGUUGCGGACUUUGGUUAGAGCGACAAGAUCUAAAUAGGCUGGAAAUAAGGUGCUGAAGAUUCACCAUAGGCCUCUUCUUUAUCGCUUGUUUUCGUGUAUAUUCACAGCUGCAAACGAGCUUUGACUUGAGGCAUGUGAAAUGAAGAGUAAAUGCUGAGAACCUUGUCUAGGCAUUGGUGCAAUUUUCUUAUUUGAAGCUUUAUUGGCCAUCGAAUCUCAUCAUCAUGAACAAGUUUGCAGUUUCAUUCCGAUUUUGAUUAGUUCGAACACAUGGUCCAAGAUUCUUAUAAAUGCUAUGUAACAGAAUUCUCCAAGUUGGAUCCAAAGUUACAUACAUAACAUGAUGUUUUUGUUUUGAGAUACUAAUACUAAAAGACAGCUUGUUCUGAGUAUGUCGAUACUUUCCGGAGACUAGUAUGGUUCUUUUUCAUUCUUUUACCCCUUUCACCGUAACGCAUGGUGCUACAACAAUCGUACCCUUCAAGAACAACGUAGGUUGGGCUGGGAAAGUAGUUAUAUCUCAGUAAUCGGAAGAUUAAUGUGGGACUAGUCAAACAGGGGAUCAUGAUUUUCCCUGAAUAUGACGGAUACUCCCGAGGUGGUCAUUUAGUUAAUUUGAUUGUGGAGACCAAAUGGAAGAGGUAUUGAGUAUGUAGGGGAUGAGUAGAAGAAGAAUUAACCAAUUCAAUCAAGAGUGACUUCAGGCUAUAUGGUGUUUCCUUGAUUAGUUUCUUAUUCACAGAGUUAGUCUACACAAAAAAACAGUUUGAUUUGACUUCAGGCUAUAAUUCUAAUUGCAAUUUGAUUGAGCAAAUAAAAUGCAUACAUUGCAGUCAAGCCUACACAAUUUAUUAUGACAUAUCCUCCCGAAUCAAUGCCUCUGCUUGCCAAUUUGCAUUGCCAUUCUCCUAAAAAUCACGCAAGGUCUACUAGGGAAGGAGCUCAUCGCUUCUCACAAAUUCUUUGGUCCUUUAAUUCUUCUUGGAAUUGCAUUCCUCAUGAAAUGGAAAUCCUAGAUUCAAUGUUAAGACGAAGUUUCAUCCAAAAUUGGAUUAUAAUAUUCCAAAUGAAUCACAUUAGGCUAGUGAUACUUGCUGAAUAAUAUGUAAAAAUCACAAUGAUUAAGAAUGAAAAUCACUAGAUUUCAAUUUGGAGUAGUGAUUGAGAAAUUGAACUCUAACUCUUGGCCUCUAUUCCAACCUUCUCAAUUAAAGUAUGGCUAGUACGAAUUACUUUUCUUUUGGGUAAAUAUAGAAAAUCGCUUGUUAGUCAUGUAUCCAAAAGUGGUGUUGUGAGUAAGGUAUUGCGUUCGCUUUAAAUUAAUUUUUUAUGUUACAAAACUCCCAAAAUAGUAUAUCUGUGUGUUGCAUUUAUCCUUAGAUUAAUUUUCGUUGAACUAGCCUAACGGGAUUCAUGAGAUUGUCUCUUCGGCUGUCCCCGAACCAUGGGAAGAAAAAGACUGAAUUUUGGAGAAAGAGACGAGGUUUUUAGAGCGAAACACACUUGCCGAUCUAAGUAAGUUAAAAGAGGACCAAAAUAUUAGGAAAUUCCGAAAAGUUUUCAGAUGCGCCGGCGCCGUGGAGGUAGUCGGAGAUUAUCUCUUCGGAGGUGGCGGAGCUCGGAGGCCUUCUUGAAGAGGCCCUUUCCGCCUCUUCGGGUAGGCCACGAUUCCCUCGGCCGAAGAGAUAAUCUCUGACUACUUCCGCGGCGGCGGCGGCGGCGACGGCGACGGCGACGUGGUGCCACCGAUGGGUGUGACUGGAUUGAGGCUGAGUGGGAUUCUUGCGCAACGAAGGAGGACGUGGAGUCACUGAUCGGCGAAGUAUGACGCCGUUCGUGAUUUUGUACGCAAAGAAAUUGGAAAGAUCUGGGAAGAAUUCGUCUGCGAUGAUCGGUGCUGGUGAAGAUUCCGGAGCUGGGUUUGGUUGUAAUUCUGAAAUUUCGGCCGAUCAAGAGAUGGGUUCCGUUUUUUGAGAGCUUCAAAGCUCGUUGCCAGGCUCUCUUCGUGGAUUUGCGUUGGAGAUGGCGACGGCUUCUUGACUUCGCCGGAUAACUUGGCCAUCGGCGGUGGAAGCUCGGGAGAGGAGUCGACGCUCUGCGAUGAAGGCUAUGGAUAUAAUCCCGACCACUUUCUUACACUUGAAGAUUUGGAUGUUCUUCUGUGAUGUAAAUGUGAAAUGCAUGUGAUUGUUCUUAUUAAACUGCACCGUACAGAAUACAUGGAGUGGGUCGUGUUCAAAUUCAUCUCUUUUCGGAUGAGAAAAGCAUCAUUUAGUCAGUUGUUUCGUGGCUGAAGUUGGGGAUAGAGAGGAUUUAUGAUUUCAGUGGUAUUUCUCUUUUGCUAGAUUGUGAAAGAGACUAGCUUUUAUUUAGACUGUCUCAGUAUGGGGAUGAAUUGACUGUCAGGGGUGAUGAAUGGCGGUGCCAGUGAAUGCGAAGCUUUCCACUGUCUGUGGAGUACUAUUGCUCUUUAGAUCGGAUAGUUUAUGCAACUAAUUAUCUGUUCAUUGAUGACUUCUGUGGGGAAACCUCAGAAAAUAGUUUUAGAGAUGUGGUUUUUAAACUGAACUUACAACUGUGAUGCACGUCUUGAGGGAACAUCAGACAGUUUGUGCUUCAUAUCUUUCAGGUAGUAGGAAAAAGGUAAAAUUUCUGAAGGAACACAAUUAAAAGCAGUGAUUUGGAAGUCCUGUUAUAUGCAGUUCCUUUCGUAUCCUUCUCAAUGGACUUUGGUAUAGACAAAUAAUUGGGAGAAUAUUGUUCGCUUGCCUUGCCUUUAUCAUAAUUAUCUAUACUCCUGUAAGCAUCUUAAUGACGAAGAUCAUCAUAUACUUUACCAUGCCAUCGGUUGCUCAUUACGCUUUUAAGGGGUCUGUCUUUCAAGGGAUCAACCCAGUUCCAUCAUCAAAGUCAUUGUAUUGGAAGGCAGAUUGCAGUGCUUGUAUCUUGCAGAUGAUAAAGUGACUGUAUUGGAGUCAGAGAAGCGGGCUUGGGAGAAUCUGCCACAAGCUCAGGCUAUCAGAGAAGCUGUAAAUCCUUGAAGAAAUCAUAAUGCAGAAGCAAAAAAGAAUUCAUAGUGCCACCAUGGACAAGUUUGUACCUGGUAUUUAUCUCGAACGCUCUCAUUCAACAAGGAGAGAACUUUCUGUAAACCAUGCUCUUGAUGGAGAAGUUUGAUAACAUUCAAAACAAAUAGGUCUAGGUGGUGGAGCUAUUUUGCUUAACUCCUUUUAGUUAAUGUGUAAUCCAUGUAUUUAUGAGACAUUUUGGCAAUAGGUCUUAAUGCCUCUGGCUAUUAGACUUGUGCGUUGUAAUUGAUGGGAUGAUCACACAUUAGUUUAUUGGAUUAUGUUUUAUUCCUUUUGCCCUUAUAAGUUGGCAAAGAGUACCUAAAAUUGGAUGACCAUAUGUACUGAUGCUGGAAGCUGUGAGUGAACUUUUAAACAACUGAGGUCGUGUUUUGGAUGCUUGAAUAUUGUCUGCAGUACGCCAGACCCAUAUCUGCACAUUGCUCCUCUGUCCUGG
rnacentral:lncRNA from 1 species